UGCGUAGGUGGUGGUUUAAGUCUGCUGUGAAAGCCCUGGGCUCAACCUGGGAAUUGCAGUGGAUACUGGAUCACUAGAGUGUGGUAGAGGGAUGCGGAAUUUCUGGUGUAGCAGUGAAAUGCGUAGAGAUCAGAAGGAACAUCCGUGGCGAAGGCGGCAUCCUGGGCCAACACUGACACUGAGGCACGAAAGCGUGGGGAGCAAACAGGAUUAGAUACCCCUGUA
rnacentral:rRNA from 1 species